GGCAGGAUAGGUGAAGUACAUGUACCACGCAAGCGGGUAUCAUGUUCUUCACUUUUACCUUAUUCACACUACGUGCUCAACGUCUCCUGCUCUGCGAGGC
rnacentral:ncRNA from 1 species